AUGGAAGGAGAGAGAGAGCAGCCGAUCGAAGAAGGAGAAGCAGCAGCUCCGUCGGGAUCAACAAGCAGGUCAACUAAACACACAUCUAGGAUAGCUAUUCAGAAAUUAAUAGAGGUGGUAGCUGCAUUGUCAGAUUACAAAAGAUUCCUAGUUGAGGAGAUUGGAUUUGAGGGUGUACUACGUAUCCCCAUGAUCCAGAAAAUCAAUCUGAAGUUUAGCAAGUUCCUAAUGACCAAGGUGGUUGUGGAAAAGCAUUGCAUCAUACUGAGAGAUGGCGGAACGCCAAUUACAUUCUAUCCGGAGGAUUUCCACAAAGUGUUCGGUAUCCCAUGCGGGCAGCGAGACAUCAACGGCAAAGAUGCAGACAUCACACCUAAAGCAAUCGAGUUCAUUAGGAACUCUAUAGGUUGGAAUGAGAAAUCUGAUCGCAGCCUAAGCUCGCUUGAAGCGUUCAUCGGCAAGAAAAUAAACGAACUAUCCAGCCGACUAGAGAAGGAUUCUUUCAAGAUGGCGUUUGUUGUCUUUGUGAUGGGAAAUCUGUUCGCGCCGUGCACCAAACACGACCACUCGACCAUCGACUACUGGGGCGCCAUCAAGGAUGCAGAAAACAUCUCCCUCUUCAAUUGGUGCAAAUAUUCAGUCAAUUUUUUACUGGAAGCAGUUCGCAAACUAAAGUUGGAAACGGAUGCACACAUAACACCCAACCACCUCUCUGGUUGUCACCUUUUUCUGCAGGCGUUCGUACUAGACAAUGUUGAACUGGGGAUAAUGAAAGCAGACCACAAUUCCACGGAUAAAUUUAUUCGACGGGGAGACCCUGAAACGGAUGAUCCUCAUGUGCUCAGCAAGAAAGCUAGGGAAAACCAUCUUCAUAGUCCCCGAGGCAAGACACUGGAAUGCCACGUGCUACACAUGGCACAACUACAUAAACGAGAAGCAUGCCAAGAAGAAAUCAAUGGAGCAAAAUGCUGA
rnacentral:rRNA from 1 species